GACGUAGGGCGCGAGCGUUGUCCGGAUUGAUUGGGCGUAAAGAGCUCGUAGGCGGCUCGUUGCGUCGGCUGUGAAAACCCGCAGCUCAACUGUGGGCCUGCAGCUGAUACGGGCGGGCUGGAGUUCGGUAGGGGAGACUGGAAUUCCUGGUGUAGCGGCGAAAUGCGCAGAUAUCAGGAGGAACACCGGUGGCGAAGGCGGGUCUCUGGGCCGAUACUGACGCUGAGGAGCGAAAGCGUGGGGAGCGAACAGG
rnacentral:rRNA from 1 species